AUUGAACGCUGGCGGCAGGCCUAACACAUGCAAGUCGAACGAGUGGCGGACGGGUGAGUAAUGUCUGGGAAACUGCCCGAUGGAGGGGGAUAACUACUGGAAACGGUAGCUAAUACCGCAUACCAUCGGAUGUGCCCAGAUGUGAUUAGCUUGUAGUUGGGGUAAAGGCUCACCUGGGCGACGAUCCCUAGCUGGUCUGAGCGGAUGACCGGCCACACUGGAACUGAGACAGGGUCCGGACUCCUACGGGAGGCAGCAGGGGGGAAUAUUGCACAAUGGGCGAAAGCCUGAUGCAGCCAUGCCGCGUGUAUGAAGAGGGCCUUCGGGUUGUAAAGUACUUUCAGCGGGGAGGCGUUACCCGCAGAGGAAGCACCGGCUAACUCCGUGCCAGCAGCCGCGGUAAUUC
rnacentral:rRNA from 1 species